UCCUACGGGGGGCAGCAGUAGGGAAUCUUCCACAAUGGGGGAAACCCUGAUGCAGCGACGCCGCGUGAGUGAAGAAGUAUUUCGGUAUGUAAAGCUCUAUCAGCAGGAACGAGACAAGACGGUACCUGACUAAGAAGCCCCGGCUAACUACGUGCCAGCAGCCGCGGUAAUACGUAGGGGGCAAGCGUUAUCCGGAUUACUGGGUGUAAAGGGAGCGUAGACGGCAUAGCAAGUCUGAAGUGAAAGCCCGUGGCUCAACCGCGGAACUGCUUUGGAAACUGUUAAGCUGGAGUACUGGAGAGGCA
rnacentral:rRNA from 1 species